GAGUCAUAAAAGAGCCAAGGUUGCCUACCCCUGGUCUAGUGGUUAAGGCAUCGGGCCAGAGACCAGUAAAACGAUCCUAGUCCUGUUUUUGGCAUGACGGCUGGCUGGGUGACUGUGAGUCAGUUCCUCCCUCUGCACAGCCCAGCUGUGAAGAAAAUAGGAGGCGGAAGUUGUAUUAGAUAUGUUCAUUGCCCUGAGUUAUUUAUGAAAAAGGAUUUUUUAAAAAAACAAACUUCUCAAAUGGUCCAAAAAUCUGGCUAGACCUUUUGGUGAUGUAAUUCAACGGAAGGCCGUUGAAAGUGUGGGAAGCAGAAUUGCAGCUCCAUCAGAGGAUCAGUUCAAAUAACCACACUUGGUUUGAUCUAAAAAGAAGUGAGGGACUAAGACGGGGGUAGGCAACCUUGGCUCUUUUAUGACUCGUGGACGUCAACUCCCAGAAUUCCUGAGCCAGCCGUGCUGAGGGGAAAGGGAGAGGUUUCCAAGGUGAGCCAUGCUGGUUCAGGAAUUCUGGGAAUUGAAGUCCACGAGUCAUAAAAGAGCCAAGGUUGCCUACCCCUGGACUAAGAGAAACAGAUCUCUGUAGCUUCUUCAUCAGAGUCCCAAAGCAGCUGUUGCUAGAACGAAAGAGGAGUCCUUUCUUCCCUGACCCUUCAGCCAUUCGCCCAGUGCAAAAAAAAUAGUUGGUUCACCAGCUCCAAAACUCUGUGGCUUCUUUAAUAGGUUAAAAGAGAAUCCCUCAGAGCCAAAGCUCAAACCUGCAGUUAGCAAUCCUGACUUGCAUGUUGGUUAUUGAUGCAUGUCAGUCAUGUAAAAAUAAAGUGAUUCCCUUCUGGUCUGCUUUCUCAUUUUUGCACCCAUUUUAGAUCAGCCAGUUGGCAAGAACAGGAGACGUAGUUCUGCAUAGCUAGAGGGCACCGCUCAUGGACCAUCCCAAUAUCUUUCAAAAGGCAAGCUGUCUUAACAGGUUUCUUUCUAGGAAAAAGCACAUCCUUGAUUUAAGAAGUGUCAAAUCCGGGGGUUAAUUAAAUCUUGAAAUACGUUGCCCCAUUGAUACGUUGUCAUUGUUAGAUAUUCCCCUAUCUAGUUUCCUUAAUAUGGAUGCCAUGGGGUUGAUAUUAGUAGUAGUACCAUUAGUUCAAGUAUGAAAUCAUUUUUAUGCAAUUGUUUUGAGGGUCAAUGAGCAAUCUGAUAAAUUCAUAAAGGGGUUUGAGUUGAAGAGUUUGAGGAACCCUGCCCCAAGUACUUUUAAAAACCCUAAAUUUAUGCAGUAACUAGCGCCUUGACUAUUGUAACAGUAAACAAAGGUCAAACAACACUAUUACUGGGCUGAAUAAUAAUUCAAAAUAAACAACGUUGAUCAUCAAUGGUCCUCUGCAUUUUACCUAGCUGAAUUGACCGGUUUCUUUACAAAAUAAGGUACAAAGUUGCUUUCUGUUCUCGUGCAGCUGCUUUUUCACCACGAAAGCUACACAAACAAGCCUUGUUUUUCUUUUUCUGAUUGAGAUGUUUGCAAGAACAAAAAAGGGGAAAUCUGUACUAAACCUUCCAAAGGUGCACAAAAGAUUCUGCAGUGGCAGUCAAGUAUAUCUGAAUGCCAAAAUUUUUGCACAUGAACGCCUGGUGUCUGUGAAUGAAAUUUCUACAGCUUUGCAAAAAAAUUUGGAGACGAGUGAGGAUUAAACAUCCUGUCAAAACAGCCCAGGAUCAUCUGACACUUUACGACCCCUUGCAAUCUGGCAAUUGCUGUGAAGGCCUAAUGUACAAGAAUCCUGUAAUCCCAGUCCAACUUCCUCUCCUUCAACCUGGUGUCCUUCUGUUUCUCAAGUAAGUGAUAAUUUUGUGGGUUGUAGUUCCAACAUCUCUAAAAGGCACCAAAUCUACAAAAUUCAGGUGAAUUAAAAAAAAAAAAAUCUCGUUCACUCUAUGCAGUAUAUGUGGGUGUGGCUUAAAUCUUGGUAUUAGGGUGGCAGAAUAUGCCCACCUGUUAAUGAUGCAAUGCACAGAGAGGAGUCUCUUAGGAAAAAAAAAAGAAUUAGGCAUAAAAAAAAGAAUUAGGCAUGUCCUGCUUUAGCACCAGAAACAUGGCUGAAUACCCAAGGAGUCCUGUCAUUGGCUGAUGAAUCUGCUAGUUUCACUCUCUCCCACAGAUUGGAAUCUUGAGCUUUUUUGCUCUCAUUCAUGAAAGAAUUUGCAAAGAUGGCCCAGUUCUGAUCAAAGAAUAAUGAUAAUGUUUUUAAUGGAUUUUACUGUGGAAAUGGUCGAUGGCAGUAUAUGGUUUUAAAAAAGGACAAAUGCCUUUGUCAUUCUGUUUUGCUUUACGUGGUUUCUCUUAGAUGGAGACCUUCACGGAACCUCCCAAAACAAUUGUAUUUGGUUGAUUGGUGGGACUAAUCCAAACAUAUUCUUCUCUCCCUAACAUCCCGUCAGGCAUAGAGGGUUAAAAACUAGCAAAAAGAAGUUGUUAUAAGAAAAAUUACCUGGAAUGGUAUGAAUUUGAGACUUAGGGGUGAAUCUUGAAUUAAGCUUAUUGAUAUGUUGGAAGAGUUUUAUGCAGUGUGUAGACGUAUCCUAUAUGAAAUGAUAAAUUUAACAGAUUUUGGUCUGAAGAAAUUUAUAAAUACUUCUGCUUGCCUUUAACUAUCAUCAAUGAAAAAUCGAUACGUAGCUGACUGGUAGAUAGAUUCCAUAUACCUGCAGAACAAGGGAAGGUGCAAGGCUUCAUUUGUGGUUGUCACUAUCUUGACUCUUGAUCAAUCCAUCUUGACUCUUGAGCAAGUAAACAGCCCAACUAAUGAACAGCCAAGAUCACUCCCACCAACAUUAGCAGGGCAAGCCACUCGAAUAUAAACUGAGAACAAACUCCACUCCUUACUAGCACUGAUGAUGUUACUUAGUUGGGUCAUGAAACAUCAGCAAGAAAAUCAUCAAGCUCAGAGAG